UACGUAGGGGGCAAGCGUUGUCCGGAUUUAUUGGGCGUAAAGAGCGUGUAGGCGGCCAGACAGGUCCGUUGUGAAAACUCGAGGCUCAACCUCGAGACGCCGAUGGAAACCAUCUGGCUAGAGUCCGGAAGAGGAGAGUGGAAUUCCUGGUGUAGCGGUGAAAUGCGCAGAUAUCAGGAAGAACACCCGUGGCGAAGGCGGCUCUCUGGGACGUGACUGACGCUGAUGCGCGACAGCAUGGGGAGCAAACAGG
rnacentral:rRNA from 1 species